GCCUCCGUGGCCUAAUGGAUAAGGCAUCGGCCUCCUAAGCCGGGGAUUGCGGGUUCGACUACCGCCGGAGGUU
rnacentral:tRNA from 1 species